CCGCUGGCCCAAAGCUAGCUAGCUGCCCGGCCACCACCAGCCUUCCGAACCAACCUUCCUGCAGCGAGCUCAGCCCGACCACAAGCUCCCCCGGCUCAAAGUGAAGAACAGGGGAACCUCAGACCAUCUUGUAAAGCGGUGAAUGAUGACUAUGAUGGCUCACCAGUACCCUUCUUGGAUCUUCAUCAAUGAGAGGACUUUCAUAACCAGGGAACAACUCAAUACUUUAUUGAAGACCUACAACAUUUUCUAUGAGAACCAGAAAAAUCUGCAUAUUUUAUAUGGACAGACUGAAGACGGGGAUGUCAUUGUUGAAGGAAUGCUAGACAUUUCCUGGGGCAUCAAACGGCCCAUACAGCUGAAAAUACAGGAUGACAAGCAAAUCUCUUGUUUUACUAUGUCAAAGCCACCAGAUGCCUUUUCCAGCAAUGGGAGAAUGACACGCUGGGGAGAAUUUGAUGACCUAUAUCACAUUAGUGAGCUGGACAAGACUCAGAUUCCUGUGUCUGAAAUGAAGAAUUCCCUUGAAGACUAUUUAUCUUGUCACAGCAGCACUUUGAAGCCAUAUACAGAAGAGGAACCAAGAUCCCCUUUGUUAUAUAGAACCAUGAGUGAAGCAGCCCUAGUGGGAAGAAGGACCAGGCUUCCAAUGAUGGACAGAAAAGACAGACAGAACCAGAGGGCCUCCAUUAACGGACACUUCUAUAACCAUGAAACGUCAAUUUUCACCCCAGCCUUUGGAUCAGAAACAAAGGUCAGGAUCAACAGUAGCAUGAGAACUGAAGAAGUAAUAAAGCAGCUCCUACAAAAAUUUAAGAUUGAGAACAGUCCUCAAGAUUUUGCUCUUUACAUUAUUUUUGCAACAGGAGAGCAGAGACGGCUAAAGAAGACAGAUAUUCCACUCUUACAGAGACUCCUACAAGGGCCUUCCAAAAACAAUGCUCGUCUUUUCCUCAUGGACAAAGAUGCAGAAGAAAUCAGCAGUGAUGUGGCUCAGUACAUUAACUUCCAUUUUUCUCUCUUGGAAUCCAUUCUUCAAAGACUAAAGGAAGAAGAGAAAAGAGAGAUUCAAAGGACAAUUAUGAAAUUCAAUACUGAAAAAGCCAUUAUACUGAGAUGUCUACAAAGUAAACAGAUAGUAAAAACAGAGACAACGGUCUAGUAGAGCAAGUCUCUAGGGCUAAAAUACUUCAACAGAUGCAUUUGAUGAACUUAUCAAGUCUGUACUUGCAUUGGAAUAUGCACUAGCCUUGAAUCUAAUCUGUAGGAACUGAGUGCCAGAAAAGCUGCAUCUCUCUGAAGUAAGGGGACUACCUAGCGUUCACAGCUGGACUAAAAUGAGAUUGGUGGAGUUUCAGUAACGGAAAAGGAUUAUGGUGGAUAAAAUAAAGUUAUUGUCACCGUGCCAGGCAGGAUGUGCGGCCCUGGGUCCUCUCUGCACCCUUGUUGUUCUGCAAGGUAUUCCCAAGUCUGUUAAAUCCAUUUGGACAAAACACUGUGCAAUUGUAUUUAUGAACUCUGUACUAAAAUGGAGUUUGGUGUAACUUUCUUCCGUUCCCUGUGCUGCUUCUAUUUGCGUUUUUCUUCAGUUUGUAUGAAGUUGUUGGAUCACAUGACCUGAAAGAAGGAAGGAAUAACUGCAGAUGUAAUAAACCUAGCUAAAAGAUUAGCUAUCAAUAUUAAAAAUGUGAAACAUUUUUAAGAUAAAAAUCUUACUUCUCCAUAUCAUGAAAAGGUGAACUUUGACCUUUGUAGUCCUCAGAGAUCUCUCACUGAGUAAAACACAGACUUGCAUCUUUAUCCUUCUCCUACUGAAGAAUAAGAAAAUCAGUUCAUCUUAUUAAAAUAAGGCAAGUGUGAUCAUUAAAGCUCGGAGUACUUAUAAAAAUUAUAAGCGAGUAUCAAAUGUCUUCCAUAAACAUAACAAUAGAUGAAUCUUACUUUGUAAGUGUGUAAGGAAUGUACCAAGGCUUCACUGUGAAAAAAAGGAGAGCUGGUGUGCAAAAAAUACACAUUAGAGAAAAUGCACAUAAUUUCUACGUAUAUGAAAGAAUUGUCUCAAUAGUGGUUAAAACCUUGUAACUGGCUUUACUAAUCUGUGUUCCAUGAGUAAUCAGAAACAGUGGAGUAAUUUAACGUGAGAAAGCAGUAUGUGUUAUAUUAUUAAGUUUUAUUAGGACAGCAACAGUGAGAUGGAAGUAGAAGCCUCCUAAAGCUAAAGGAGACCCUUAAAAGCAAGAAACAAGAAAUGAGGGUUUCCGAAUUGCAGGGGAAGGUGAAUCUGCAGCCCAAUGGAUGACAGUUCUCGGGCUACCCAGGCCACUGUGGUUCCCCACUUGUCAAACAUACUCUGGAAAGUGGAUGAGGGAGGCAGGCUUUUCUACAGACGGGCACAAAGCAGAGAGGGAUAGAACCUUAUCUUCAUUCAGAGGCUGUUGGACUUGGUGCUGAAGAGGCUUCUUCUGUAAGAGUCUGUUUCAUGUGGUCUGGGGCACAUUCAGAGCUGCACAGGAUUAAGGACAGGGCACAGGCUUCGCUAGAAGGCCAGCAUUCUGUGUGAGUGUGCAGUGAGACAAGAUAAACUACAAGGAUAGCAGCGAUUUGAGCUAAAGGACUGGCAGGCACUGGGCUCUAAUUUGUACCACCACUGCCCAAAUCGAAAGCUGAAGAGGCAAGUGGGAGAGUGAAUGCUGGAAAAAGCUGCUCCUGGCAGGAGCCUAGCACAGGAGAAACCAAUCUAGGCAAAGUAGUGGAGGAAAAACAAUCCCAUCCACCAGGAGCCUGCCUGGCCAACCCAUAGGUAGCAGAAGGGAGACAUUGACUGCAUGGAUGGAUCUCCAGCACCCUCUACUGGCACCAAAUAGCAUUGUGCAGACUGCUAAAGAAACAGCAGGCAACAAACACAGUUUAGAGUUGAGACAAUAAAUAUUGUGUCAUGUCAACACAACCAAACGUAUAUUAGAAAUGAUUAAAACAACAAAUUACAAGAAGGCACCCUAACAACUGGUAAACCCAAAUGGACAUAAUUUUUCUGCAAGAUAAGUUAGUAGUAACCUUAUUUUAUAUGAUCUUAUGAAAACAUAUUCUGCAGCUAUUUAUUAUACCAUUAUUUAUAGUCACAAAAGAAAGUAAACAGCCUAAAAUAUUCAAAAUAUAGAAGUGAUUUAAAAAAUCUACUCACAGAAUGAUAUAUUGUUUUUAAAAUUAUAUAUGUAAGAUAAUUGCAGAACUAAAUUAUCCUUAUAUAUCUAAAUAAAGAAUAUACACAUAUAUACUAGAACAUAAUUUAUUGUACAUUAGACAUAUCUGUAUUACGUACUUAUACAUCAAUACACACUCACAAACCAAAAAGGAACUUUCCUAUCUUCCCUAGAAAUAUGGAAGAUUCAUACUUUUUAAAUAUCUCUAUAUUUAGUAAAUGUUAUGUAAUAAUAUAUGUUGUUUUUAAAUCAAGAAAUAAAAAGUUGUGAUUCAAAAUUACCAACAAAAAGUAGCAAGUACAUGCAAGAGCAGAAUUCUAGAUGCAAAGGAAAACAACAACAUCAUGGUUCAAAUGUUCAUUCACAUCGCUUCUGUGAGAUGUUGAAUAUAUGUCCAUAAAAACUUUGGUACUUUUCCUUUCAAAAUAUGGCACUUAAUCUCUCUUACCUUUAGAUGAGCUAGACUUGAGAUGCCUUUUCAUUGUAUUAUUAAUUGAAAAGAAAGGAUUACAUGUUUAGGGGGUUCAGUGUGAUCUAUGUAUACAUUGCGGAACAAACAAAUCAAGCUAACUAAUAUGUACCACCUCUCACCCUUAUCGUUUCUUUAUGAUGCACAUUUAAGUCUAUUCCUUUAGCAAUUAGUGACCUCUACUAAAUAGAAAGGGCAAAAGGGAGAGCAAGUGGAUUUGGAGAUCAGAUCACACAAGUUCCCAUGGCUUCCUCCUUGCUGUCUGCUUGGGAUCACUUCAUUCAGGGGAAAACAGCCAUCAAGGCCUGAGCAGCGCUGAGGAGAAGCCUCAACCAUGAGGUAUUGAGAUCUUUUGCAAAAGCUAUCCGGGGAACUGCGGCCUCCUGAAAACUGCUACAUGAGCGGCCAUCUUGGAAGUGAAUCAGCUAGCCUUGGUCAAGUCUUUCGUGGCCCUAAUAGCUUGACUGCAGCUUUCAGAAAGAUUCUGAACUUCUCCUAAACCUCAGAAAGAGAAGAAACGCUGGCUUUGCUCUACUGUGCUAUACUGUGUAACUUGUCCCACAGCAGUGGAGAACUAAGAACAAUUUCUGAGGGGAAAAAAAUGUGUUGACUUUAAAGUUCUUUUUGCAUAAUACAAGAUCACAAACUUUCAUCAGAAAAAUACCAUCCUUGAUUUAAAUGGUCUGGAUAUUUCAUUACACUUACACAUUGCUUAAAAUUAAAUUCUAAAUAAUAUGGUUAGUAAUGGUAGAAAACCAUCACAUUCACUUAUAUAUGUCUUGUACUUCAUAUUAUGCAUCUGAUGUGCUCAAUAAAAUUAA